rnacentral:rRNA from 1 species
UUCAAGUCUUUAAGAGCAAACGGUGGAUGCCUUGGCAUCUGGAGCCGAAGAAGGACGUAGCAAUCUGCGAUAAGCCUCGGGGAACUGAUAAGCAAGUUUUGAUCCGAGGGUGUCCGAAUGGGGAAACCCCGCUGGGCGGCGUGCCGACCUAGUGACUCCCGCCUGAAUAUAUAGGGCGGGUAGAGGGAACGUGGGGAAGUGAAACAUCUCAGUACCCACAGGAAGAGAAAGCAACCGCGAUUCCGUUAGUAGUGGCGAGCGAAACCGGAUCAGGCUAAACCGAGUGUGUGUGAUAUCCGGCAGGAGUUGCAUAUUCGGGGUUGUGGGACUCACCAGUCAGUUCUGCCGAGCUGGCGACGUUACAGAAGCGUAUAGACGAACGGUCUUGAAAGGCCGGUCAUAGAGGGUGCCAACCCCGUAGUCGAAAUGCGUGUUCUGGCGUGGAGAGUAUCCCAAGUAGCACGGGGCCCGUGAAAUCCCGUGUGAAUCUGUCAGGACCACCUGAUAAGCCUAAAUACUCCCAGAUGACCGAUAGCGGACAAGUACCGUGAGGGAAAGGUGAAAAGUACCCCGGGAGGGGAGUGAAAUAGUACCUGAAACCGUUUGCUUACAAACCGUUGGAGCACCCCUGGUAGGUGUGACAGCGUGCCUUUUGAAGAAUGAGCCUGCGAGUUAGCGAUAUGUGGCGAGGUUAACCCGUGUGGGGUAGCCGUAGCGAAAGCGAGUCUGAAUAGGGCGAUUCAGUCGCAUGUCCUAGACCCGAAGCGAAGUGAUCUAUCCAUGGCCAGGUUGAAGCGACGGUAAGACGUCGUGGAGGACCGAACCCACUUAGGUUGAAAACUGAGGGGAUGAGCUGUGGAUAGGGGUGAAAGGCCAAUCAAACUUCGUGAUAGCUGGUUCUCUCCGAAAUGCAUUUAGGUGCAGCGUUGCGUGUUUCUUGCCGGAGGUAGAGCUACUGGAUGGCCGAUGGGCCCUACAAGGUUACUGACGUCAGCCAAACUCCGAAUGCCGGUAAGUGAGAGCGCAGCAGUGAGACUGUGGGGGAUAAGCUUCAUAGUCGAGAGGGAAACAACCCAGACCACCAACUAAGGUCCCAAAGCGCGUGCUAAGUGGGAAAGGAUGUGGAGUUGCUCUGACAACCAGGAGGUUGGCUUAGAAGCAGCCACCCUUGAAAGAGUGCGUAAUAGCUCACUGGUCAAGUGAUUCCGCGCCGACAAUGUAACGGGGCUCAAGCAMGCCACCGAAGUUGUGGCAUUGACMUUAUUGGUA